UACUGGAAACGGUAGCUAAUACCGCAUAACGUCGCAAGACCAAAGAGGGGGACCUUCGGGCCUCUUGCCAUCAGAUGUGCCCAGAUGGGAUUAGCUAGUAGGUGGGGUAAUGGCUCACCUAGGCGACGAUCCCUAGCUGGUCUGAGAGGAUGACCAGCCACACUGGAACUGAGACACGGUCCAGACUCCUACGGGAGGCAGCAGUGGGGAAUAUUGCACAAUGGGCGCAAGCCUGAUGCAGCCAUGCCGCGUGUGUGAAGAAGGCCUUCGGGUUGUAAAGCACUUUCAGCGAGGAGGAAGGUGGUGAACUUAAUACGUUCAUCAAUUGACGUUACUCGCAGAAGAAGCACCGGCUAACUCCGUGCCAGCAGCCGCGGUAAUACGGAGGGUGCAAGCGUUAAUCGGAAUUACUGGGCGUAAAGCGCACGCAGGCGGUUUGUUAAGUCAGAUGUGAAAUCCCCGGGCUCAACCUGGGAACUGCAUUUGAAACUGGCAAGCUAGAGUCUCGUAGAGGGGGGUAGAAUUCCAGGUGUAGCGGUGAAAUGCGUAGAGAUCUGGAGGAAUACCGGUGGCGAAGGCGGCCCCCUGGACGAAGACUGACGC
rnacentral:rRNA from 1 species